GGAGAUUUACGGAGGCUGCGACGGUGCAAGAUGCCACUGCUGCGCUCCUGAAGACAAGAAAGAAUGCACGGCGAAUCAGAGAUGCACAAGGAGGAAUGGAUCCUGCUCAAGGAGGUCCUGUGGGAGCGGAGAGAAGGAGAUUUACGGAGGCUGCGACGGUGCAAGAUGCCACUGCUGCGCUCCUGAAGACAAGAAAGAAUGCAAACCCAAGAAGCAAUGUAAGUGGAAAGGCAGAUACUGCACGACGGGAAAAUGCAAAAACAACGAAAGGGUAAUAAAACGCGCUUGCCAAGGGAAGAAAUGCCGCUGCUGCGCCCCUGGUCGAGUUUGCAAGAGGAAGACUAAAUGCAAGGAGAACAAGGGUUCCUGCAGACAGGGCCGUUGCAAGAGCUACGAGAAGGAAAUAUACGAGGGUUGCAAGGGCCUUCGCUGCCGGUGCUGCGCUCU